rnacentral:lncRNA from 1 species
AUACCCAACCAUGUGGGAUCUGGCGGCCUGCUAGGCAGCCGGACCAGUUGAAGCAGUGAGUUCCAAGUUCUGUGAGAGCGUCUGUAUUGAACAUUAAGGUGACGUGUGACAGAGGAAAACAUCUGAUGUAGACCUCUGGCCUGUGUGCGUGUGUGCGUGCGUGCGUGCGUGCGUGCGAGCGUGCGUGCGUGCGUGUGUGUGUGUGUGUGUGUGUGUGUGUGUGUGUGUACACGCGAACGUGCGUGCUUCAAGAUUACAGACAAACACAGAGGCAAACACACCUGCACAUACAUGUACACACAAAUUCAAAACCGAAGAACAAAGAGGAAGUAACUGUUAGCUAGGCAGCCAGUGGUACCCACUACAAGUUUCAUCUCACAUUCUAAAGUUAGAUUCACCGUUGGGCACUAUCUUAAUUAUGACGAAGUCUGACACUAUCUCAAGUAUGGUGAAGUGAACAUGCCACUCACCGGGGUACCCUGUCCAAUUGCUGCUGCUGGAGAACUAGAAACCAUACGUGAGUGUUGACCACAUAGCCUUGCACCAUCCAGCUCGGCUUCUGGAGAACUAGGGACCACAUAGCCUUGCACCAUCCAGCUUGGUAGUUACUAGCCCUAUGUAUUGCUUUACAUGUAUUUUAUUUUCCUUGCUUUUUUAUCUUGUAAUCUGAUCAACCCAUUAGAAUUUGGAAAUUUUAGCAAAAGCAACCCAAGUCCUGAGUUUGUCCGUUUGUUUAGCUCAUGUCAAAAGGGGAAAUGGGAAAUUGGUUUCAUGGCAAUAGAAGGACAGGGAGAUGGUCUUAGGAACUGCAGACUUCAGGGACUCAAAUGAUGUCACGGCCACAAUUUAUCAUCGCCGUGAUACCCCCUUCUUGACUUUCUGGGCCCUGCGUAGUUUUUACUUGUACACUGGCUUCCUCUCCGAGCAAGACAUCUGACCUCUGGAGGCUUGCAUGGCUGUCUCCCUCCUCUGGGUCUGUUCCUUCCUUCAGGGAAAAGGGAGGGAGGAGUGGGGAGGGGGGCAGAGAGGAGGGAAGAGAAAGGCUUAUAAGCCUCGGGAAACUUAAUAAGGCUCCGGAGUUGAGGUUCCCCUCCACCCACAAGUUGCACAGAGAGCUCCGAGCUCCUCCGGUGACUCAGCUUUUGUGAGUCAUCACCCAUGCUAGGUGACAAAUAUUCCUGAGUCACCCCCACUCCUGUUAAGCGACCAUUAUUAAACUUAUUGGUUCAUCAAGCUGAACUUGGGAGGGGCCAUUCGUUGGGCUCUGUUGUUGGUGC